CGGGAACGAAGGCGCACGGUGGAUGCCCAGGCGCCAGGGGCCGAGGAAGGACGCGGCCAGGCGGCGAAACGCGCCGGGGAGCGGCCAGGCACGCGAUGAUCCGGCGGUCUCCGAAUGGGGAAACCCGCCGGGGGCAAACCCCCGGCACACCGGGACGCACAGGGGUCCCGGUGAGGGCACCUGGGGAACUGAAACAUCUUAGUACCCAGAGGAGGAGAAAGCAACCGCGAGGCCCGGAGUAGUGGCGAGCGAAACGGGCUCAGCCCAAACCACCGGUCCCCAGUGGGCCGCGGCCCUGAUGGACCGGUGGGGUUGCGCGGCCCCGGUGGACGGCCCGCGGGACCGUCCCCGCCGGGGGCGGCUGACCGGAAGGACCUGGAACGGUCCCCCAGAGAGGGUGAGAGGCCCGUACGGGCAGGCGGCCAGCGGCGGUCCGGGGUGCGCGAGUACCACGGGGCACGAGGAACCCUGUGGGAAGCGGGGGCGACCACGCUCCAAGGCUAACUACCCCUGGCGACCGAUAGCGGACCAGUACCGUGAGGGAACGGUGAAAAGAACCCCGGAAGGGGAGUGAAAGAGAGCCUGAAACCGUGUGCCGACAGGCGGUCAGAGGGGAGUGGCGCAAGCCCCCCUGAUGGCGUGCCUAUUGAAGAAUGAGCCGGCGAGUGGCUGGGCGUGGCGAGGUUAAGGGGCUGGAGCCCUGGAGCCGGAGCGAAAGCGAGUCCGAAGAGGGCGCAGUCGCGCUCAGCCGACCCGAAACCGCGUGAGCUACCCCUGGCCAGGGUGAAGGUCCGGGACCACGGACUGGAGGCCCGAACCCGUCCGUGUGGCAAAACGGUGGGAGGAGCUGGGGGUAGGUGGUGAAAUGCCAAGCGAACGCGGAGAUAGCUGGUUCUCCCCGAAAGGCAUUGAGGUGCCGCCUCGGGGCGCAGCCCCGCGCGGGUAGGGCACUGGUGCGGUGAGGGGCCAGUGCGGCUACCGAGUCGCGCCAAACCCCGAAGCGUGCGGGGUGGUGCCCGGGAGUGAGACGGUCGGGGAUAAGCUCGAUCGUCGAGAGGGGAACAGCCCAGACCACCGGCUAAGGUCCCUAACGGCGGACUGAGUGGCAAAGGAGGUCGUGCCCCCCAGACAGCCAGGAGGUUGGCUUAGAAGCAGCCAUCCUUGAAAGAGUGCGUAAUAGCUCACUGGUCGAGGGGUGCGGCGCCGAAAAUAUCCGGGGCUAUGUCCGCGACCGACGCCGUGGACGGAAGGAGACCCUUCCGUGGUAGGGGAGCGUCCCGCCCUGGUGAAGGCGGACCGCAAGGACCGCUGGAGGGCGCGGGAGUGCGAAUGCCGGCAUGAGUAGCGCCAAGCAGGGUGCGAAACCCUGCCGCCGUAAGCCCAAGGGUUCCGGCGCAACGGACAUCGGCGCCGGGUUAGUCGGGCCUAAGCCGAGGGCGUGCGCGCCGCAGGCGAUGGACACCAGGUCAACAGUCCUGGACCACCCACACGGCGACGAUCGGCGGGGGGACGCCUCUGGGGUGACCGCGCGUGGCGGUGGAGCAGCCACGUCGCCGGGCCAAGCGGGGGCCGAGGCAAAUCCCGGUCCGGAACGCAAGGCCCGGGCGCAAGGCUGGGGGCAACCCUGGCCGAGGCGGUGCGCGCCGGGGGCCGAGAAAAGCCUCGCCGGGAGCCGGUGGGUGCCCGUACCGCAAACCGCCACCGGUGGGCUCCGGUCAAGGCCGGAAGGCGUUCGGGUGAGCCCUCGUUAAGGAACUCGGCAAAUUGGCCCCGUAACUUCGGGAGAAGGGGCGCCCGCCCAAAGCGGGCCGCAGGAACAGGCCCACGCGACUGUUUACCAAAAACACAGGUCCGUGCUCAAGCCGCAAGGCGCAGUAUACGGGCUGACGCCUGCCCAGUGUCGGAAGGUUAAGGGGAGGGGUGCACGUAGCCCCAAACCGAAGCCCCGAUGAACGGCGGCCGUAACUCUAACGGUCCUAAGGUAGCGAAAUUCCUUGUCGGGUAAGUUCCGACCCGCACGAAUGGCGUCACGACGUGGGCACUGUCUCAACGAGGGGCCCGGCGAAAUUGAAGUGGCCGUGAAGAUGCGGCUGCCCCACGCCAGGACAAAAAGACCCCGUGGAGCUUUACUGCAGCUUGGCAUGGCAUCGAGGCCCGCGCUGCGUAGGAUAGGUGGGAGGCGGAGAACCCGCCCUUGCGGGGGCGGGGGAGCCGACGGUGAAAUACCACUCUGUGCGGGUCUGGGUGCUCACCCGGCGACGUCCCGCCGGGGACAGUGCCUGGUGGGCAGUUUGACUGGGGCGGUCGCCUCCUAAAAGGUAACGGAGGCGCCCAAAGGUUCCCUCAGGCCGGAUGGAAAUCGGCCGCAGACUGUAUGGGGAGAAGGGAGCCUGACUGUGAGGGAGACACCCCGAGCAGGGCCGAAAGGCGGGCCAAGUGAUCCUACGGCCCCGUGUGGAAGGGCCGUGGCUUAACGGAUAAAAGUUACCCCGGGGAUAACAGGCUGAUCCCGCCCAAGAGUUCCCAUCGCCGGCGGGGUUUGGCACCUCGAUGUCGGCUCACCGCAUCCUGGGGCUGCAGUCGGUCCCCAGGGUUGGGCUGUU
rnacentral:rRNA from 1 species